rnacentral:rRNA from 1 species
CGAACGGGUGAGUAACACGUGAGUAACCUGCCCUUGACUCUGGGAUAAGCCAGGGAAACUGGGUCUAAUACCGGAUACGACCAUCUGGCGCAUGUCAUGGUGGUGGAAAGCUUUUGUGGUUUUGGAUGGACUCGCGGCCUAUCAGCUUGUUGGUGGGGUAAUGGCCUACCAAGGCGACGACGGGUAGCCGGCCUGAGAGGGUGACCGGCCACACUGGGACUGAGACACGGCCCAGACUCCUACGGGAGGCAGCAGUGGGGAAUAUUGCACAAUGGGCGCAAGCCUGAUGCAGCGACGCCGCGUGAGGGAUGACGGCCUUCGGGUUGUAAACCUCUUUCAGUAGGGAAGAAGCGAAAGUGACGGUACCUGCAGAAGAAGCGCCGGCUAACUACGUGCCAGCAGCCGCGGUAAUACGUAGGGCGCAAGCGUUAUCCGGAAUUAUUGGGCGUAAAGAGCUCGUAGGCGGUUUGUCGCGUCUGCUGUGAAAGACCGGGGCUCAACUCCGGUUCUGCAGUGGGUACGGGCAGACUAGAGUGCAGUAGGGGAGACUGGAAUUCCUGGUGUAGCGGUGAAAUGCGCAGAUAUCAGGAGGAACACCGAUGGCGAAGGCAGGUCUCUGGGCUGUAACUGACGCUGAGGAGCGAAAAGCAUGGGGAGCGAACAGGAUUAGAUACCCUGGUAGUCCAUGCCGUAAACGUUGGGCACUAGGUGUGGGGGACAUUCCACGUUUUCCGCGCCGUAGCUAACGCAUUAAGUGCCCCGCCUGGGGAGUACGGCCGCAAGGCUAAAACUCAAAGGAAUUGACGGGGGCCCGCACAAGCGGCGGAGCAUGCGGAUUAAUUCGAUGCAACGCGAAGAACCUUACCAAGGCUUGACAUGAACCGGAAAGACCUGGAAACAGGUGCCCCGCUUGCGGUCGGUUUACAGGUGGUGCAUGGUUGUCGUCAGCUCGUGUCGUGAGAUGUUGGGUUAAGUCCCGCAACGAGCGCAACCCUCGUUCUAUGUUGCCAGCGCGUUAUGGCGGGGACUCAUAGGAGACUGCCGGGGUCAACUCGGAGGAAGGUGGGGACGACGUCAAAUCAUCAUGCCCCUUAUGUCUUGGGCUUCACGCAUGCUACAAUGGCCGGUACAAAGGGUUGCGAUACUGUGAGGUGGAGCUAAUCCCAAAAAGCCGGUCUCAGUUCGGUUUAGGGUCUGCAACUCGACCCCAUGAAGUCGGACGUCGGCAGUACU